CGAAGCGGAUCAAAUAUAAUUCUUACUUGUAUCGCCACUGUGAUCGUUUGGAACAUGAAAACCAGAUAGAUGACGGUGCCGGCCCUAGUGGAACUUCCAAUGUAGCUGAACAAGGUAUGAAUUCUUCACAAGGCAGUGAUGCACUUGCACAGGAUAAUAUCGUCGGUGAAACUUUCUACGAAGGGGAAGCUGCUUAUCUAUCAGAAGCCGAUGAUGAUGUAAUCGACUAUUUAAUGGAAAGUUCGGAUGAUGAUAUAGAUCCAGCAGCAUCAGAUGACCCAUUCUCUGCUGAAGAUGCUUUGCGUCAAUGGGCAAUAUCAACAAACCAAACAUACGACUCGAUUGCCCAAGUGAUGGAUAUAGUUCGAAAAGUGAGUUCCUGUAACCUACCUAAAGACGCUAGAACCCUACUAAAAUCAAUCGAAAUAUUUCGGCUGAUAUCCUGACGGUAGAAGGUGGUCAGUACUGGUAUUAUGGAGUGCAGAAAUGUCUCACAAACAAGCUAAGUGAUACAUCUCUGAAUUCGGACACCACACUCUUGCUUAAUGUAUCCAUCGAUGGUUUGCCGAUAUUUAAAAGCAACAAUUUACAAUUCUGGCCGAUUUUAAUAAAUA